rnacentral:rRNA from 1 species
UACAGAGGGGGCAAGCGUUGUUCGGAAUUACUGGGCGUAAAGGGCGCGUAGGCGGCCUGUUAAGUCGAACGUGAAAUCCCCGGGCUCAACCCGGGAACUGCGUCCGAUACUGGCAGGCUCGAAUCCGGGAGAGGGAUGCGGAAUUCCAGGUGUAGCGGUGAAAUGCGUAGAUAUCUGGAGGAACACCGGUGGCGAAGGCGGCAUCCUGGACCGGUAUUGACGCUGAGGCGCGAAAGCCAGGGGAGCAAACGGG